rnacentral:rRNA from 1 species
CCUCGGCGGGGUCACGCCCCGGGUGCGUCGCAGCCCCGGAACCAGGCGCCCGCCGGAGGGACCAACCAAACUCUUUCUGUAGUCCCCUCGCGGACGUUAUUUCUUACAGCUCUGAGCAAAAAUUCAAAAUGAAUCAAAACUUUCAACAACGGAUCUCUUGGUUCUGGCAUCGAUGAAGAACGCAGCGAAAUGCGAUAAGUAAUGUGAAUUGCAGAAUUCAGUGAAUCAUCGAAUCUUUGAACGCACAUUGCGCCCGCCACUAUUCUGGCGGGCAUGCCUGUCCGAGCGUCAUUUCAACCCUCGAACCCCUCCGGGGGGUCGGCGUUGGGGAUCGGGAACCCCUAAGACGGGAUCCCGGCCCCGAAAUACAGUGGCGGUCUCGCCGCAGCCUCUCCUGCGCAGUAGUUUGCACAACUCGCACCGGGAGCGCGGCGCGUCCACGUCCGUAAAACACCCAACUCUGAAA